GCCAUUGGGCAAUGCAGUAUUGUAAGUAUAGUGGAUCAAUUGUCCUUUGCUGUCUGCAGUGUUGACGGAUUUGCCAAUUUUGGAAUUCUCUGUGAUAAUGACACAAACUAGAGAAACACCUUCAAACAUUAACUAUUAUUCCCUUCAAUAAGACCAUCAAAACUAAUCCCAGUCAUGGAAGAUAUGCAGUGGCCCUAGAUUUUUUGGGAUAUAGUUUUAACUGGUCUCAAGUUCUAGUAUUGUUCUGCGGCCUGCAGGAGGCCUUUUUAGGUCCUAGAGAUUGAAAUCAUGGGUAUUCCCACAAUUUUUAGCUGGCUCAGUUGCCAAGAGAAAUCUGUAACAUCAUAACCUUUGGAGUUAAACCCAUUCUUUUGAAGAAUUAUGCAGCAUAAAAAAACCAUGAUACCCAAAUUACAUUAGUUUGGGUAGGAUAAGAAAAUUACAUUAGUUUUUUCACCAUCAGCCUGAUUCUGCAGACACAUAGAAGUUUCCUCUUGAGCCAAAUAGAUGUUUACACUUUCUUGCCAUCAGCUGCCAUGGAUCAUGAUACAUACUUAAAAAACAGUUUUCAUUCUUAAAAGUGGAAGAAUGAAAUGUUUUAAGAGUUAUAUGGGGUUUGCAUUGUGCUGGAUUGUUUACGUCACUGUUGUUCUUCUGCUUUGAUGUUAAGUCCGGUAAUGGUUAGCUAUUUACCCAUUGGUUAAUGGAUUCUCAGGUAUUAGGAGAGGAUGAAAACAAU
rnacentral:misc_RNA from 1 species